ensembl:lincRNA ankyrin repeat and LEM domain containing 1
UCCGGCCGCUGGACCUCGCGGAGCAGCAGGGACACGGGGACUGUGCGCGCGUCCUGCGGGACCUGCGCCCGCCGGGCUGCCCAGCGUGGAGGACGGCGACGGUGACCGCGGGGGCCUGCGGUGAGGGGACUGCGGGGCGGUGCGCGCCCGCUGCCUGUGCCGGCUGGGGCGCUGAGACUCCGAUCAGUCUGUUUUUUCCUAUUCUUCCUUCCUCUUUCCUUCCUUUAUACUGGGGAUGAGUCCAAGCGCCCGCUCCCUGAGCUGUAUCCCCAGCCCCCUUUUCAUUUUGAAACAGUUAAUUAUCAAUUAAUUAUCACUAAUUACCUAAGUUGUACGGGCAGGUCUUGAACUUAGGAUCCUCCUGCCUCAGCCUCCCACCUGCUGGGGCUACAGACCUGCACCAGUAAGCCUGCUGGGACGGCCUUGGAACCCGUGCCCGCUCCCUUGCUGCCUCUCCCCUUGCCACAGCAGCCUCAAUGUCCGACCUGAUUGUGCAUCUGUGCCCCCCCAUCUUCAGGAGCGGGCCUCACGGCCGCGGAGGUGACCCUUGAGCCUGCCGCACGGCCAGCCGGGCCUGAGCGUGGGGACAUGGGCCUGGGCCCCAGCCGGCGGGUUGCCAGCCCCACCGGGCCCCUGGAGGCUGCGGAUGAAGAGGGAGGCUCAGAGUCCCCGCGCCAGGACUGGGACAGCAGCUCCGACGACGACGAUGAAGUUCCCUUUGUCACUGCGGUGGAAGCUUCUGACUCGGAGGACACAGCCCUGGAGAGGAAUUCUGUCGGGGGCCCAUCACUGCCUCAGGCAGAACAGGGACCCAUGCGGGUGGCCCUGAGGCCUACAGGCCAGCCAGGGCCAUCAGGCAAGGAGGCUGAGCUCGGCGCCCGGCUGUGGGCCAUGACUCUGUCCCCGUCCUGGGCUACCUUCUUCCCUCCCCUCGUGGACCCAAGCACAGCCCACAGCAACCCCCAGAAGCCUGGCCUCUGCCCCCAGGCAGAUGAGCAGCGGCCCUUUGGCGGUGACAUGGCUGCCCUUUGGCUGACAGAGGACGAGGCCAGCGCCGCAGAGGACAGGGAACAUGUCCCCACUUGCAAGCUCCCGCCGGUGCCCACCGCUCCUGGCCUACAGCUGCGGCACAGGCUCCCGGCGCCUGGGCACCGUCGCUGCCCCACUGUUCCCUUCAGCCAGCCGCCCUGUGGCCCCCAACGGCAGGGAGAGGGCUGGGCCACGCCCGACUUUGCAAAGUACAGCCCAGAACUCGCCGAGGCCCUGCGGACGGGCUGCAUCCCGGACUCCCAGGCGGACGAGGACGCGCUGGCCCAGCAGUUCGAGCGGCCGGAUCCCUCGGAGAGGUGGCGGGAGGGCGUUGCCAAGUCCAGCUUCACGUAUCUGCUGCUGGACCCCAGGGAGACUCAGGACCUGCCCGCCCGAGCCUCCUCGCUGACCCCGGCCCAGUGUCUUCAGACCUUCGUCCACGCCAUCUUCUACGUGGGCAAGGGGACACGCACCCGGCCAGACGUCCACCUCUGGGAGGCCCUUGGCUACCGUGGGCGGCCAGGAAGACAGGCCUGCCCCAAGGUGCGCCGCAUCCUGGACAUCUGGGACAGUGGCCAUGGCGUGGUCUCCCUGCACUGCUUCCAGCAUGUGGUGGCUGUGGAGGCUUACACGCGGGAGGCCUGCCUUGUGGACGCCCUAGGAGUCCAGACGCUGACCAACCAGAAGCAAGGGCACUACUAUGGCGUGGUGGUGAACUGGCCCGCAGCUCGGCGGCGGCGCUUGGGGGUGCACCUGCUGCACCGUGCGCUGCUCAUCUUCCUGGCCGAGGGUGAGCGGGAGCUGCGGCCUGAGGACAUCCAGGCGCGAGGCUGAGCGCUGGAGUGGCCGUCCAGCCUGGACAGAUGUCAUGGUGUCUGCUCUCCCUGUGCUGAGAGCAAACCCCUCAGUGGCUGCAGAUGGCAGGCUCCAUGUACGUGUGUGUGUGUGUGUGUGUGUGUGUGUGUGCGCAUGUGUGUCAGCAGCCCCUGGGUAGAUCCCUUUCUGUCUCAGGGAGGCUCUGUGAACACAGUAACUGCUGGAGAGGGAGUGAACUCCCCAUCAUGGGAGGAAACCAAGGGGCAAACCAAAAGGUGCUUCGGAAUACUUUGGUGCUUUGGCAGUCUUUGGGGGUUGUCUUUCUUUUUCUGAGAUUGGGUCUUCCUAUGUACCCCAGGCUGGCCUUGAACUCACUUCGGCCCUCCUGCCUCAGCCUCUUGAGUAGUGGUAUUAUGGACCUACACCUCCAUGCCUGGCUUUUUGUGGACUGUUGUAGUCACCUUCCCCUGCUGGGACCAAAUACUUGGCACCCACAGCUAGAAGGAAGAGAGGUCUAUUUCGAUUCACGGGUUCAGUCCACGGCCAGCUGGCUCCAAGGCCGAAGCAGCACGGUGGGCGGGCCUGGCGGAGGACACUGCUCACCUCGCGGUGGUCAGGAGUCAGGAAGAGAGGGGAGGAGCCGGGGACAAGGAUGUGCCUUCCCGGUCACAUCCCAGUGGCCGCCUCCAGCCAGGCCCCGCCUCCUACAGCACUGUCAGCUGUGGACUCAUCCCUGGAGGAGCAGGGAGAUGAGCACUGCGCCCCACCAUCCCAUCCCCUGCCACACAGGCUUCUGGAGGACAGCUUAGCUCAUACCCGCAAUAUGGUCCGAGUCCCCUUUUUUUUUGAGGCUCUGAGCUAUGUAGCUCAGGCUGCCCUUGAUUCUCCUGCCUCAGCCUCCAAGCACUGGGAUUAUAGGAUUAUACUAACAUACCUGGCUCCAUCCACUUUUAUGUCCCAGACACAGGGUACCCACAGAUGGGCUGGCCAGGGUUUCUUUUGCUCCCCAUGGGGGGGCUCUGCCCUUCUCAGAGCCAGGCUCACUCCCUCGGGCUGAGGGGCCCUGCGCUAGUACUGUGUCUGCCUGGGCCUCAGUAUGUGCCACGGAUGGAGCUUCCUCCUGCUGGGAAUUCCCACAGGCAGCUGCAGGGGACUGGCUGGGCUCUGCACAGCGCUGCAGUAGUGGUGCAGGCCUGCUCUCUCGGCCCUGGGAGGCUGAGGCAGGAGGUUUGGGCAACCUAGUGACUUAGUGACAGCUUGUCUCAAAAUAAAAGAAUACAAAAAGGGCUGGGGACAUGGCUUAGUGCUGAGGGGUUGGUUUAGAUCUGUAGUACCAAGAAAAAAGAAGGGAGGAAGGACAGCUCGGGGAGUGGGCCGGGGCUGCACCACUUAGCACCAACUGGAGAAC